AGAGUUCGAUCAUGGCUCAGGAUGAACGCUGGCGGCGUGCUUAACACAUGCAAGUCGAACGAACCUUCGGGUUAGUGGCGGACGGGUGAGUAACGCGUGAGAAUCUGCCCUCAGGAGGGGGAUAACGGUUGGAAACGACCGCUAAUACCCCAUAUGCCUACUGGUGAAAUGAAUUUCGCCUGAGGAUGAGCUCGCGUCUGAUUAGCUAGUUGGUGAGGUAAUGGCUCACCAAGGCUUCGAUCAGUAGCUGGUCUGAGAGGAUGAUCAGCCACACUGGGACUGAGACACGGCCCAGACUCCUACGGGAGGCAGCAGUGGGGAAUUUUCCGCAAUGGGCGAAAGCCUGACGGAGCAACGCCGCGUGAGGGACGAAGGCCUCUGGGCUGUAAACCUCUUUUCUCAAGGAAGAAGAUAUGACGGUACUUGAGGAAUAAGCCACGGCUAAUUCCGUGCCAGCCGCCGCGGUAAUAC
rnacentral:rRNA from 1 species